UACGUAGGGUCCGAGCGUUGUCCGGAAUUAUUGGGCGUAAAGGGCUCGUAGGCGGUUUGUCACGUCGGGAGUGAAAAACUCAGGGCUCAACCCUGAGCGUGCUUCCGAUACGGGCAGACUAGAGGUAUGCAGGGGAGAACGGAAUUCCUGGUGUAGCGGUGGAAUGCGCAGAUAUCAGGAGGAACACCGGUGGCGAAGGCGGUUCUCUGGGCAUUACCUGACGCUGAGGAGCGAAAGCAUGGGGAGCAAACAGG
rnacentral:rRNA from 1 species